CCCGCCCCAUCCCCUGAAUGGAGCUUGAUCAGAACCCUUAUCUUCAUGGCUUUACUCUUAAGGUGAAGGCCUUGUGUUCAACUCCCUCUUCCUCUCUCUCUUCCUUCUGGGUUAUCCCUCCUUGCCCUCGUGGGAUGAUUGCGUUAUUGAGAUAGGAAGUGCUCAAACCGACAGUAGAAAGACCCCAGCCUGAAGAUGUUGUGGUAUGUUUGGACAUGAUUGGCGUGGCAUGGUUUAUCUCGCUCACAUUCAAACAACGGUGGACACUGGGGGACGAUUAAAGCAAGGCAGUCACUAUCAUCGCUCCCCUACUGCACCCAUCUCGUUUUGAUCGUUUAGUGUCGUUCACAAACAACGCGGCGCGGCGAUAGAUAAACCGCUAAAUCAACCCCUGCAUUUCACAUGCGAUUGACUCAUUUACUGUGGUCCACGCGCCGUCAAACAACACGACACCGCGCUGCGUUCUGCAGGUACCAGGCGCCACGUAAUUGAUGUGCUGUGAUUUACCAAAUAGAUCCCAUCAGGAGGAACGAGUCGAGCACGCCAGGCAGGUGUGGCCCGUCUGUGGGUUUAACACGAGCACAGUCACCAAACGCAAAGCCUGUCAGCCAAGACCACCAGUGUCUGUUAUGAGAGUUUGAACGCACGUCAAGCCCGUGUGAUUACAACGCACAUUAACCGCUUUGUUGACUCAAAUUUCCCUCAGACACCCGACGACUGAUGGAAUUAAACGUUUAACGUUUAAUGUCAUUCCCAUUCGAAAAUGUGUUUGGUUAUUCGCAGAGAGCGUAAUUAUCCUUGCGUGAAUCAUCUAAAUUUUUCUCUCCCUCUCUAUUUCCCUUUAUAUUCACGGUACACGUUCAUCAUAGUUUCAUGAUAAAUGUAAAUAUUUUUGCCUUUUGAUUUCAUGUUUUUGUUUCAAUGGUCACUUCUAUAGGUUCCCCUCUCUCUCAGUAUAUGCAGAUGUGGCAGCAGCUCCCAGCCAUAGCCAGUUAUAGCCCUGUGUAAGUCAUCAUGUGACAACAGCCCACAUGUUGACCCCUAUGGUCAUUUAACAACAAAAAAAAUCCAUCAACAGCUGUAAUCCAUUGGAACGGACAAAUGUGUGUGUGGGUGCAUACAUGUGUAAUUAACUCAUACCCCGCUCUCUUGUUUGGAUUUGGGCAUCCUAUAUAAUUGCCAUUCCUGCCACAGUAAGCUUGAGGCCCCUGGCACAUGCCGAGACACUUCUAUGACAGGCUUGUUUAGGGCCGCUCUAUCCUUUCUGUAUCAACGUAAUGAGGUUGACCUUUAUAUAAACACGGCCCCAAUGCCCCGGUGGCAACACGUGUUGUUCGUCCCGGGUUUUUUUCCCCGUGACGUAUGCGACGACAGCGCCAUUAUUUGUAAAUGACUGCUAGGUGGUAGGACCCCUUGCUCCAGAGUCCCCGUGGCGUUACGCUGCUGCAUCUAUUAGCCGAUGUGAAUGCAAUGGUGUCAUCCGGUUCGUCCGGUGUCACCGCCAAAACCCUCCCCUGUGGUCCCCCCCCCCCCCCCUCGUAAGACUGUUCUGCUUUCUCGUUUUCUUUAAGGUGCCGGCGUGGGAAGCAAAAUAAAAAAGAGGAAAAUAAAACGAGGCAUGGUGUGAUGUACCAUUGCACCCUGUAUAAGGGAGCUUGCCUUGGUACAGAUAAUGGACUGAAAAAAACGGUUAAAAAUACGUUGAAAAAGAUUAUGGGCCAGAGGUUACGCAGACCUUAUCAGCUGACCAACGAGAUCAUCUGGAGAUGUGCUCAGGUGUGCGUUGAGUCAUCGCCUCGACUUUGGGUCCUUUAUUAGCGCAAACGCAUUGCUUUCAUUUAGCCCACCGCGCUAACCUACAAACAGCCCCCUGACGUAUAGAUAAGUGCAACCAGCUGUUCUACUGAAGCGGAUCCGUGUUGCGCAUUAGGGCUGCUUAAUAUUCCGAGGAGGAUAUAGCCUCCGUGCGAUGGGAUGAAGGGGUCAUCCCAGUGCCCGCCUGUGUCUCCUCUGUGGGAAGACGGAUGAAACAUCUGCUAAGCAGCCAGGACAUAAAGCGGUAAUAAAUGUCACAAUAAUGGCUCCAUUUAAAAACAAGGUAUCAUCCAGCAAACAAGUACCUAUAAGUGGUCCAACUGAGGCUGGAGAGAGAGAUUAUUUAAAUAUUUUAAGCUCGGCUAGGCUGAGACAAAGUUAUUGGCUGGAUGGCUGUUGGGUUCUGUGCUGGUUAUUAUUCACCAAACUGUUCCUACAUUCUGUUAUAAAUACAAAAUUUAAACUUUGGAUUAGUAUGUUUAUGAAAUUGUUUACAAGGCCCUAUAGCGUCAAUGAGCAGUGUGAUUGUGUCUUACAUGGAUUGGUGGACGGUCACUAUAAGAUGACCCAGUCACCUGCUGACGACACACCUCUAGAACCAACCCUACUGGUUGAACAAAUGAACACAUGCAAUCAGGAGGCAUGUUUACUGAACUUGUUGAACUGAAACCACGCUGCCUUCCUGGGUAACACUUUGCAUUAUUUAAUUAGUUCAUUAACAUGAGUCAAUGCAAUAAUAAACGUUAACAGGUAAUUAACGGUUAACUAACAGUUAAUUAAUGGUUAACUAAUGGUCUAGCAAUUUACUGAUGUGUUUAUUUUUACUAAUGUUGUUCAUGUCAACUCAGGUAAUGGUGUUUAUGUUAAAGCUAUAACAUACCCUGACUGUAAAUGAUAACCCUUCCUGAAGGCUAUGUGUGCGCGCACACUCGCCGCACAAACACACACACACACACACACACACACACACACACACACACACACACACACACACAAACACACUAAUUAGCAAGUUAAAUGUAUAUUUUGUCAUGUUCGACAAAAUACAAACUAAAGUCUGAGAUCACAGUGCGCUUGAUUGAGAUAAAUGAGCACAAAAGAAGGGAAACACGAAGACAAGUCUCCCAUGUCAAACACAUCAUUCGACAAUGACUGAAGAGGUGUAGGCGAGCCCAUCAAUGCUAAUCUCAACCGCUGAGGUCAAAGUUCCAGCGGAUGUCAGAGGUCAGCACUAGGGGAGGAUAUCGGCAUUGAUUUCAGCUGCAGUAGUGAUUGCUUGGAAGAAAUCUGGACACUCUUGGCCCACCGUGACACAUCAAAUGCCACUGUUGGUAAAGGAUGUGGUUGUGCUGCUGCUGAUCAAAGGCAGAUUACAGAGUACCAAAAUCCCAAAAAUGUGGUUAUGACUAAACCAAGCCCAGUACAUUUUUACCCACAACAUAUUGGCUUUGAUCUGAUUUUCAAUGACUAAGAAAUGUAAAUUUUUUGUUCUUCUGAAUAGGGAUAAUGAUUGCUUGGUAAUCAUCGAAUGAACUGUAUUCAUUCUCCGACCGAUAUUUGUAUAGGGUUAAGAGUCAUUCAUAAUGGAAUCUGCUAAAGAAUAUCCUAACGUUUAUAACACAUUGUAGAUCAUGAAACUGCACACAACUGCAUUUUGUAAACACUGCCUCGAUCCAAACAGUUUUCCCUGUAGCACUGCACGGUACGUUUUCUUUCAAUGAAAUAAGCCUGAUGUACCGUGAACACUGAAUAAAUACCUUUGAUUCCCAG
ensembl:lncRNA